CCCAAAAGAUCGAAUGAGGAGACUCAUCGUCAGCGGAGUUGGCUUUCAUGUGACGUGCGAUGUUCAGAGGCGGUACUUAACGGUAUUUGUCAUUGGACACGUCGUUGCUGUGAAUGAGUCCGACUACGUCGGCGUGCACUUCUCCUCUAGUAGAACGUCGUGACCCGCUGGGUGUCGGUUUAAGGACUGAUGUGUCGCCUGUUCCGUGGCUUCGGCUUAUCGGUAACAGACACUCGGUAUCCCGACCGGCUGCUCGGCGGUAGUAAUCAAGGUAUCGAGCCGCAUCGAAUAAUGCGUUCAGACUCGUCACAAGCCCGAUCAUUUUCCUGGAUUGCGGAGUUAAAGCCGUUACUGGGGAUGAUUAGCUGUUGGUUGGCGAUGUUCUCGAACCGGCUUACAUUGAAAACAACGAUACCGGUCAACGACGCUAUUGCUUUGGGUACUCUCGGGACCCGUCUUGAAACACGGACCAAGGAGUCUAACAUGUGCGCGAGUCAUUGGGAUGUUAAAACCUAAAGGCGCAUUGAAAGAGAAGAUCGGCCUUGCGUCGAUUGAGGGAGGAUGGGUAGCGUUUUAAUGCUUGCUCCGCACUCCCGGGGCGUCUCGUUGUCAUUGCGACUUGAGGCGCACCCAGAGCGUACACGUUGGGACCCGAAAGAUGGUGAACUAUGCCUGGUCAGGAUGAAGUCAGGGGAAACCCUGAUGGAGGUCCGUAGCGAUUCUGACGUGCAAAUCGAUCGUCGGAACUGGGUAUAGGGG
rnacentral:rRNA from 1 species